rnacentral:rRNA from 1 species
GACGAACGCUGGCGGCGUGCUUAACACAUGCAAGUCGAACGGAAAGGCCCUGCUUUUGUGGGGUGCUCGAGUGGCGAACGGGUGAGUAACACGUGAGUAACCUGCCCUUGACUUUGGGAUAACUUCAGGAAACUGGGUCUAAUACCGGAUAGGAGCUCCUGCUGCAUGGUGGGGGUUGGAAAGUUUCGGCGGUUGGGGAUCGACUCGCGGCUUAUCAGCUUGUUGGUGGGGUAGUGGCUUACCAAGGCUUUGACGGGUAGCCGGCCUGAGAGGGUGACCGGCCACAUUGGGACUGAGAUACGGCCCAGACUCCUACGGGAGGCAGCAGUGGGGAAUAUUACACAAUGGGCGGAAGCCUGAUGCAGCAACGCCGCGUGCGGGAUGACGGCCUUCGGGUUGUAAACCGCUUUCGCCUGUGACGAAGCGUGAGUGACGGUAAUGGGUAAAGAAGCACCGGCUAACUACGUG